GGGCACAUGGUGUAGUUGGUUAUCACGCUCGCUUUGCAUUAAUUGUAAUAUGCGAGUGGUCUCCGGUUCAAUUCCGGAUGUGUCCA